rnacentral:siRNA from 1 species
UGGAUGGAGUUCAUGUUUGC